rnacentral:rRNA from 1 species
GACGAACACUGGCGGCGUGCCUAGUACAUGCAAGUUGAGCGCUGAAGGUUGGUACUUGUACCAACUGGAUGAGCAGCGAACGGGUGAGUAACGCGUGGGGAAUCUGCCUUUGAGCGGGGGACAACAUUUGGAAACGAAUGCUAAUACCGCAUAAAAACUUUAAACACAAGUUUUAAGUUUGAAAGAUGCAAUUGCAUCACUCAAAGAUGAUCCCGCGUUGUAUUAGCUAGUUGGUGAGGUAAAGGCUCACCAAGGCGAUGAUACAUAGCCGACCUGAGAGGGUGAUCGGCCACAUUGGGACUGAGACACGGCCCAAACUCCUACGGGAGGCAGCAGUAGGGAAUCUUCGGCAAUGGACGAAAGUCUGACCGAGCAACGCCGCGGGAGUGAAGAAGGUUUUCGGAUCGUAAAACUCUGUUGGUAGAGAAGAACGUUGGUGAGAGUGGAAAGCUCAUCAAGUGACGGUAACUACCCAGAAAGGGACGGCUAACUACGUG